ACUCCUACGGGAGGCAGCAGUGGGGAAUAUUGCACAAUGGGCGCAAGCCUGAUGCAGCCAUGCCGCGUGUAUGAAGAAGGCCUUCGGGUUGUAAAGUACUUUCAGCAGGUGAGGAAGUGGGUAUGUUAAUAGCAUAUCUUCAAUUUGACUGUUAGCCUUGCAGAAAGAAGCACCGGCUAACUCCGUGCCAGCAGCCGCGGUAAUACGGAGGGUGCGAGCGUUAAUCGGAAUUACUGGGCGUAAAGCGCAUGCAGGUGGUUUGUUAAGUCAGAUGUGAAAG
rnacentral:rRNA from 1 species